rnacentral:rRNA from 1 species
UACGUAGGGUGCAAGCGUUAUUCGGAAUUACUGGGCGUAAAGCGUGCGCAGGCGGCUUUGUAAGUCAGAUGUGAAAUCCCCGGGCUUAACCUGGGAACUGCAUUUGUGACUGCAUGGCUGGAGUGCGGCAGAGGGGGAUGGAAUUCCGCGUGUAGCAGUGAAAUGCGUAGAUAUACGGAGGAACACCGAUGGCGAAGGCAAUCCCCUGGGCCUGCACUGACGCUCAUGCACGAAAGCGUGGGGAGCAAACAGG